rnacentral:lncRNA from 1 species
CCAAUAUUCUUCAACUUGACUUGUCACAUGUGAAAUCUUGAGAAAAUGGUUGUCGUGCUUGUACUUCACUUUAUAUGGUAAAGUGGCGCAACCAAAACACGAAGAAAACUCACAAACAAUGCAAUCUAGGAAUCCGCCAGAAUCGAAUGAUGAACAUAUCCGACAACUAGUGUAAGAUUCUGUUACAGUGAUUAGGAACAAAGGAUGAGGAUGACAUGAAUGACUGAACGGCUC